GUAUUAUGAGGGCAAUUUGGCUACAACAUCUGUCACACCAUUGAUUGCCGAGGUUGGUUCGGCUGAUCUGGCUGGCUAGGAGGAUGUGCUAUUCCUCCCUUACCACUCCACAUGUGUCCCUCCUGAAACUGCACACCCAAUGGAAGAGGACAACCAUACCAGAUAGGAGUGUACCGUUCUUCAGUCAUCAAUUCAACAAAGGUUUUUGUGUGAAUUAUAGGAAUGUAGUUGUAUUUUUUUU
rnacentral:sRNA from 1 species